rnacentral:rRNA from 1 species
GGAAGGUAGCUUGCUACCGGACCUAGCGGCGGACGGGUGAGUAAUGCUUAGGAAUCUGCCUAUUAGUGGGGGACAACAUCUCGAAAGGGAUGCUAAUACCGCAUACGUCCUACGGGAGAAAGCAGGGGAUCUUCGGACCUUGCGCUAAUAGAUGAGCCUAAGUCGGAUUAGCUAGUUGGUGGGGUAAAGGCCUACCAAGGCGACGAUCUGUAGCGGGUCUGAGAGGAUGAUCCGCCACACUGGGACUGAGACACGGCCCAGACUCCUACGGGAGGCAGCAGUGGGGAAUAUUGGACAAUGGGGGGAACCCUGAUCCAGCCAUGCCGCGUGUGUGAAGAAGGCCUUAUGGUUGUAAAGCACUUUAAGCGAGGAGGAGGCUACUUUAGUUAAUACCUAGAGAUAGUGGACGUUACUCGCAGAAUAAGCACCGGCUAACUCUGUGCCAGCAGCCGCGGUAAUACAGAGGGUGCGAGCGUUAAUCGGAUUUACUGGGCGUAAAGCGUGCGUAGGCGGCUUAUUAAGUCGGAUGUGAAAUCCCCGAGCUUAACUUGGGAAUUGCAUUCGAUACUGGUGAGCUAGAGUAUGGGAGAGGAUGGUAGAAUUCCAGGUGUAGCGGUGAAAUGCGUAGAGAUCUGGAGGAAUACCGAUGGCGAAGGCAGCCAUCUGGCCUAAUACUGACGCUGAGGUACGAAAGCAUGGGGAGCAAACAGGAUUAGAUACC